rnacentral:rRNA from 1 species
UACGUAGGUGGCAAGCGUUGUCCGGAUUUACUGGGCGUAAAGAGCGCGCAGGCGGUCGUUCAAGUCGCGUGUGAAAGCCCCCGGCUCAACUGGGGAGGGUCACGCGAUACUGAUCGACUCGAAGGCAGGAGAGGGAAGUGGAAUUCCCGGUGUAGUGGUGAAAUGCGUAGAUAUCGGGAGGAACACCGGUGGCGAAAGCGGCUCACUGGACCGAAUCUGACACUGAGGUGCGAAAGCUAGGGUAGCAAACGGG